rnacentral:rRNA from 1 species
CUGCGAGUGAAGCGGCAAAAGCUCAAAUUUGAAAUCUGACGUUCAUACUGACGUUCGAGUUGUAAUUUGGAGGAGCGCCUUCGGGAACCGACGCCGUUCUAAGUUCUUUUGGAACUGGACAUCACAGAGGGUGAGAAUCCCGUGCCUGGGCGGCAGUCUGGUUCCCAUACGAAGCGUUUCCGACGAGUCGAGUUGUUUGGGAAUGCAGCUCAAAAUGGGUGGUAAAUUUCAUCUAAAGCUAAAUACAGGCGAGAGACCGAUAGCGCACAAGUAGAGUGAUCGAAAGAUGAAAAGCACUUUGAAAAGAGAGUUAAACAGUACGUGAAAUUGUUGAAAGGGAAGCGCUUGAGAUUGAACUAUGACAGGAUGGAGCUGUGCGAGGGCCUCGGCUCUUGUUACACCCCUUCAUUCUCCCUCCAACCACCAUCGGUUCCGGCGGCGAGAAAAACGGCUGGGGAAUGUGGCUCCCCUCGAGGAGUGUUAUAGACCUAGGCCGAAUUGCGCCAGCUGGGACCGAGGCAAAGAGCGAGCUUGGGGUCUCGUACCCCUUGACCUCAAGGAUGUGUGGCAUGUCGAUCUUAAGCGACCCGUCUUGAAACACGGACCAAGGAGUCUAACAUCUAUGCGAGUGUUCGGGUGGAAAACCCUUGCGCGUAAUGAAAGUGAACGGAGGUGGGAACCACUUUUGUGGUGCACCAUCGACCGAUCCUGAUGUCUUCGGAAGGAUUUGAGUAUGAGCAUAGCUGUUGGGACCCGAAAGAUGGUGAACUAUGCCUGAAUAGGGUGAAGCCAGAGGAAACUCUGGUGGAGGCUCGCAGCGGUUCUGACGUGCAAAUCGAUCGUCAAAUUUGGGUAUAGGGGCGAAAGACUAAUCGAACC